GCAUCGGUGGUUCAGUGGUAGAAUUCUCGCCUGCCACGCGGGGGAACCCGGGUUCAAUUCCCGGCCGAUGCA